rnacentral:tRNA from 1 species
AGAGAGGUGUCCGAGUGGUUGAAGGAGCCCGCUUGGAAAGCGUGUAUAUGCCAAAAGUGUAUCGAGGGUUCGAAUCCCUUCCUCUCUGCAA